GUAGGUUGACACUCUAGAGAAGAGCUUCCCCUUCGGGGGCAAAGUGACAGGUGGUGCAUGGUUGUCGUCAGCUCGUGUCGUGAGAUGUUGGGUUAAGUCCCGCAACGAGCGCAACCCUUAUUGUUAGUUGCCAUCAUUUAGUUGGGCACUCUAGCAAGACUGCCGGUGACAAACCGGAGGAAGGUGGGGAUGACGUCAAAUCAUCAUGCCCCUUAUGACCUGGGCUACACACGUGCUACAAUGGGAAGUACAACGAGUCGCGAAGUCGCGAGGCUAAGCUAAUCUCUUAAAGCUUCUCUCAGUUCGGAUUGUAGGCUGCAACUCGCCUACAUGAAGCCGGAAUCGCUAGUAAUCGCGGAUCAGCACGCCGCGGUGAAUACGUUCCCGGGUCUUGAACACACCGAA
rnacentral:rRNA from 1 species